AGCAGCCGCGGUAAUUCCAGCUCCAAUAGCGUAUAUUAAAGUUGUUGCAGUUAAAAAGCUCGUAGUUGAAUUUCGGGAUCAAAGGAUCGGUCAUGCCUUGGUAUGUACUGGUUUUAUUGGUUCUCACCUUCUAAAGAACCAUAAUGUCAUUCAUUUGAUGUUAUGGGGAAUUAGGACUGUUACCUUGAAAAAAUUAGAGUGUUUAAAGCAGGCUUACGCUUGAAUACAUUAGCAUGGAAUAAUGAAAUAGGACAUCAGAUUCUAUUUUGUUGGUUUCUAGGAUCGAUGUAAUGAUUAAUAGGGAUAGUUGGGGGCAUUAGUAUUCAAUUGUCAGAGGUGAAAUUCUUGGAUUUAUUGAAGACUAACUACUGCGAAAGCAUUUGCCAAGGAUGUUUUCAUUAAUCAAGAACGAAAGUUAGGGGAUCGAAGACGAUCAGAUACCGUCGUAGUCUUAACCAUAAACUAUGCCGACUAGGGAUCGGAUGAUGUUAAUUUUAUAAUGA
rnacentral:rRNA from 1 species